rnacentral:rRNA from 1 species
UGCCUAGGAAUCUGCCUGGUAGUGGGGGAUAACGUUCGGAAACGGACGCUAAUACCGCAUACGUCCUACGGGAGAAAGCAGGGGACCUUCGGGCCUUGCGCUAUCAGAUGAGCCUAGGUCGGAUUAGCUAGUUGGUGAGGUAAUGGCUCACCAAGGCGACGAUCCGUAACUGGUCUGAGAGGAUGAUCAGUCACACUGGAACUGAGACACGGUCCAGA